CUUUACUAUAACUUGAUAUUGGUUUAGGGGCAUGUUUGCUUAGGAUAGGUGGGAGACUUUGAAGUUUCGCUUUCGGGCGAGAUGGAGUCAACGGUGAAAUACCACCCUAACAUGCUUUUAAAUCUAAUUUCUUACCAUGAAUCUGGUAGAAAGACAGUAUUAGGCGGGUAGUUUAACUGGGGCGGUUGCCUCCUAAAAUGUAACGGAGGCGUUUACAAAGGUUGGCUAGCUCCCGAUGGAAACGGGAUGCGAUAGUGCAAACGCAUAAGCCAGCUUUACUGCAAGGAGUACAAUCCGCGCAGUUGCGAAAGCAGAAGUUAGUGAUCCGACCGUUUCGAUAUAGGACGGCGGAAGCUCAACGGAUAAAAGUUA
rnacentral:rRNA from 1 species